GUGGUGUAGCAACAACGUUAUUGGAUGAGGAUGUUCGUGUUAGACAAAGGGUCUAAUUAUGUUUUUUUUUCUCCCUCCCAAAGGUGUCCACAAUUUUUUGGGAUGGGCAGUGGGCCCCUCCUCUCCAACAGUGACGAAAUAACAGUGGGUGUAAAGAGAAUUUGAACUUGCAGCCGGCUACCACUUCUUGGUUGCUCUUGCCCGGAUCAGAACAAGCAACAUACUGGAGUGGGACACUGCACCACAGAAGCAGUGAUUGGAGAGGAUCGGCGCACCCGGGAAAUAAGUGCUUAGUGACCGACUUUCAGAUCAAAUAUUUAUUGGCCACUUUUUACGCAUGACUACACUGGGAGUAACUGGAAUUUCAAGGAUAUAAACUGAUUCUCUUUCUAUAUUUCAUGGAGUUAAAACUUUGUUUAAGGUUCAAGAUGAUACUGAAAAUAAAACAUAUCCUCUGGUUAUACUGCCUGUGUCAAAGUGCAUCUGGAUUCGGUAAGUGUUGCCUACUACUACUUCUACUUCUACUAUUACUACUGCUACUACUACUACUACAGGCUACUACUACUACUACUACUACUAUUAAUACUAAUACUCUCUCUCUCUCUCUCUCUCUCUCUCUCUCUCUCUCUCUCUCUCUCUCUGUACAGUUUAUGUAUGUGUGAGUUUGUUAAAAAAUGAUUAGUUUCACCAUAUUAAAGUGAGAGUUCAGUUCACAUAACAUGGUUGUCCUUAAAAUAAGGGACAUGCGUAAAUGAAUCACUAAUCACAUUAAAUAAAUAAUAAUCUUCAGAUAUGACUUUGUCAAAGCAACAAAAUGACUAGGGCUUCACAGUGACAGUGGAAUUGGGAGACGUUUUGGGAUUAAGUGGGUUAAAAUCCUCCUAGAAGUGGCACAGGUUUUGACAGAGGGACAUGUCAAAAUGCUGAAUUUUGGAACUUUAGCAAGCCUUUAUUGAAUUUUCCAUGCGGUCUAUAUUAAAGGGCACUUAAUUUAAUAUACAGUUGAAGUCGGAAGUUUACACACACUUGGGUCAUGUGUGUAUGAGCCAAGUUGAACAGUUUAAAGGCAAUGCUACCAAAUACUAAUUGAGUGUAUGUAAACUUCUGACCCACUGGGAAUGUGAUGAAAGAAAUAAAAACUGAAAGAAAUAUUUCUCUCUACUAUUUUUCUGACAUUUCACAUUCUUAAAAUAAAGUGGUGAAUCCUAACUGACCUAAGCCAGGGAAUUUUUACUGGGAUAAAAUGUCAGGAAUUGUAAAAAACUGAGUUUAAAUAUAUUUGGCUAAGGUGUAUGUAAACUUCCCACUUCAAGCGUAUAUAAAUAUCAAAGCGAUACAAAAUGCACUUAUUUUGAGGAAUGACCCAUGCAUGUGUCUCAGCACAAUUCAGGUAGGCAAUUAGUCAAAAACACUUGUUGGUACUAAGUCAGUUGGAAAGUAUUGUGCUUUGGGUGGCAGAUAUUCUAGCGGUUAUAGCAUUAGGCCAGUAACCGAAAGUUUGCUGGUUCAAAUACCUGAGCCGACAAGGUGAAAAACCUGUGGUUGUGCCCAUGUGCAAGGCACUUAACUCUAAUCUGUUCCAGGGGUGCCGUGCUUCCUUUGCUGACCUGUUAAAACAACAGAUUCACUAUAUCUAUCCGGUGUAUGUG
ensembl:lncRNA